rnacentral:rRNA from 1 species
CCUACGGGAGGCAGCAGUGAGGAAUAUUGGUCAAUGGGCGUAAGCCUGAACCAGCCAAGUCGCGUGAGGGAUGAAGGUUCUAUGGAUCGUAAACCUCUUUUAUAAGGGAAUAAAGUGUGGGACGUGUCCUAUUUUGUAUGUACCUUAUGAAUAAGGAUCGGCUAACUCCGUGCCAGCAGCCGCGGUAAUACGGAGGAUCCGAGCGUUAUCCGGAUUUAUUGGGUUUAAAGGGUGCGUAGGCGGCCUUUUAAGUCAGCGGUGAAAGUCAGUGGGUCAACCAUAGUAUUGCCGUUGAAACUGGGGGUCUUGAGUAGGUUUGAGGCAGGCGGAAUGCGUGGUGUAGCGGGGAAAUGCUUAGAUAUCACGCAGAACCCCGAUUGCGAAGGCAGCCUGCCAGGCCAUGACUGACGCUGAUGCACGAAAGCGUGGGGAUCAAACAGGAUUAGAUACCCGGGUAGUC